CCUACGGGAGGCUGCAGUGGGGAAUCUUCCGCAAUGGGCGAAAGCCUGACGGAGCAACGCCGCGUGGGGGACGAAGGCCUUCGGGUCGUAAACCCCUGUCAUGGGGAAAGAAGGGUCUCGGGGUGAACAGCCCCGGGACCUGACGGUACCCCAAGAGGAAGCCACGGCCAACUCCGUGCCAGCAGCCGCGGUAAUACGGAGGUGGCAAGCGUUGCUCGGAAUUACUGGGCGUAAAGGGCGCGUAGGCGGGGAGGCAAGUCGGGUGUGAAAUCCCUCGGCUCAACCGAGGAACUGCGCCCGAAACUGCUUCUCUUGAGUCCCGGAGAGGAAGGUGGAAUUCCCGGUGUAGCGGUGAAAUGUGUAGAGAUCGGGAGGAACACCGGUGGCGAAGGCGGCCUUCUGGACGGUGACUGACGCUGAGGCGCGAAAGCGUGGGGAGC
rnacentral:rRNA from 1 species